GGGAGACUUGGAUCAGAUCGAGCAAGCUGGCGCCCUGUUGGAGGAAGGCCGUUCUUUGGCCACCAAUAACAACAACAAACACUGCCCUUCUCUGGACACUGAGGUCCUCCUUGAAGAGCGGGAAGAGGUUCGUUCAACAGAAGCUGAUGAUGAUGAAGAGGUCUCUGUUACAAAGGGACGUCACGACAGGCUGGGUGAUGAAGAUUUGAACGAUACCCUAGAAUAUCUACCUGACAACAUCCAGGCCGAUCGCCCCUCUGUCUCCGAAUCCAACCCGUGAAUCUCUGUCGGUGAAUCCCGUAUCAGCGGAAUAAUCCUAUGCCGAUUUGUAAUCACUUUUUGGUAAAUUAAUUAAAAAA